rnacentral:rRNA from 1 species
CAGAUUGAACGCUGGCGGCAGGCCUAACACAUGCAAGUCGAGCGGUAGCACAGAGAGCUUGCUCUCGGGUGACGAGCGGCGGACGGGUGAGUAAUGUCUGGGAAACUGCCUGAUGGAGGGGGAUAACUACUGGAAACGGUAGCUAAUACCGCAUAAUGUCGCAAGACCAAAGUGGGGGACCUUCGGGCCUCAUGCCAUCAGAUGUGCCCAGAUGGGAUUAGCUAGUAGGUGGGGUAACGGCUCACCUAGGCGACGAUCCCUAGCUGGUCUGAGAGGAUGACCAGCCACACUGGAACUGAGACACGGUCCAGACUCCUACGGGAGGCAGCAGUGGGGAAUAUUGCACAAUGGGCGCAAGCCUGAUGCAGCCAUGCCGCGUGUGUGAAGAAGGCCUUCGGGUUGUAAAGCACUUUCAGCGGGGAGGAAGGCGGUAAGGUUAAUAACCUUGUCGAUUGACGUUACCCGCAGAAGAAGCACCGGCUAACUCCGUGCCAGCAGCCGCGGUAAUACGGAGGGUGCAAGCGUUAAUCGGAAUUACUGGGCGUAAAGCGCACGCAGGCGGUCUGUCAAGUCGGAUGUGAAAUCCCCGGGCUCAACCUGGGAACUGCAUUCGAAACUGGCAGGCUAGAGUCUUGUAGAGGGGGGUAGAAUUCCAGGUGUAGCGGUGAAAUGCGUAGAGAUCUGGAGGAAUACCGGUGGCGAAGGCGGCCCCCUGGACAAAGACUGACGCUCAGGUGCGAAAGCGUGGGGAGCAAACAGGAUUAGAUACCCUGGUAGUCCACGCCGUAAACGAUGUCGAUUUGGAGGUUGUGCCCUUGAGGCGUGGCUUCCGGAGCUAACGCGUUAAAUCGACCGCCUGGGGAGUACGGCCGCAAGGUUAAAACUCAAAUGAAUUGACGGGGGCCCGCACAAGCGGUGGAGCAUGUGGUUUAAUUCGAUGCAACGCGAAGAACCUUACCUGGUCUUGACAUCCACAGAACUUUCCAGAGAUGGAUUGGUGCCUUCGGGAACUGUGAGACAGGUGCUGCAUGGCUGUCGUCAGCUCGUGUUGUGAAAUGUUGGGUUAAGUCCCGCAACGAGCGCAACCCUUAUCCUUUGUUGCCAGCGGUCCGGCCGGGAACUCAAAGGAGACUGCCAGUGAUAAACUGGAGGAAGGUGGGGAUGACGUCAAGUCAUCAUGGCCCUUACGACCAGGGCUACACACGUGCUACAAUGGCAUAUACAAAGAGAAGCGACCUCGCGAGAGCAAGCGGACCUCAUAAAGUAUGUCGUAGUCCGGAUUGGAGUCUGCAACUCGACUCCAUGAAGUCGGAAUCGCUAGUAAUCGUAGAUCAGAAUGCUACGGUGAAUACGUUCCCGGGCCUUGUACACACCGCCCGUCACACCAUGGGAGUGGGUUGCAAAAGAAGUAGGUAGCUUAACCUUCGGGAGGGCGCUUACCACUUUGUGAUUCAUGACUGGGGUGAAGUCGUAACAAGGUAACCGUAGGGGAACCUGCGGUUGGAUCA